UGGGGGAAGCAGAGCCAGCAUGGAUGCUAAUGAGCAUAUCUAGAAUCAGCACACUGGAAUUUGCUUAUUUGCAUAUAGCAUAUAGCUUAUUUGCAUAUAGCUUAUUUACAUAUAGCCUAGAAAGUGUGAACAGUGAAACCCCAGGGAAACCAAUCACAGAAAAGGAGCCCCUCACUUGGGAGCCCAGGAACCCUGAGCUUUCAUAGCUAGCUGGCAUUUUUUGGCGCUGCAGGGGCUGUGCUGUGCACCUCUGUACCCUGCUCCCCUGUUGCCCUAAGAAACCCUUGCAGGUUUUUGGCCAGAGGCUGCGAUCAUGGACCAUGCCCUGAUGAGAACUCUUGUACCGGUUCCACUCCACCAGGUGGAGACAACUGCUGAGGUGAGAGAGACAACAUCCAUUCCUACAGGGGAGCCAUUCCUACAGAUACCUUCCUGGACAUUAAGGCACUGAUAAGGCCUUUUAUCCCAAAGGAAUAUGUGUUUCACUCAAGAGGCCACAGCCACAGUCAAGUUGGACUCUACAAAUCCAGGAAAACAGCCUCAGAGGACAAGGUCAUCUCUGGCCCACAUCGCCAUAUGCGGCUUAUUUGCAAAAGAGAUGGGAUGUUCUCCGUCACCUGCAUCGACGCUUCUCAAGCUCGUCUGGCUCUGCCUGACAUUCUGUAAGUAGAGUUUCAUCCUUUUGGCUAAGGCUGAACAGGCAAUCUGUGUCUUAUUAAAGUACAUUCCUUGGAGCGUGAACUUUUCCACUUACCAGCCACAAAAGUGAUGUUCUCACAUCGCCUCCUCUCAUUGGCUGCCCUUGACAACCUAGUAAGACAGGUUUGAUGAUGAUGCCUGUUUAAUUGAUGAGGAAACUGAGGCCCAAACAGAAGCCACAAUUUAAACCCUGGGCUUGAAUUACAAAUUUCUACAGAUGAUGUAGGCUCUCGGGCCUCACAUUGCACAUCUGUAAAUUAGACACAAUAAUACAAUAGCGUAACUCUCCUGCAUGUUAUGAGGGAGACAGAAUGAAGCAUGCUUCUCUUUUGCUCAUUAGUUCAUUCAUUCAGUUAGCAAGUGAUUCUUUGCAGUCCUGAUGUGUGGGACAAGGGGCUACCAAGAUGCCUAGGGAGAAAGUGCUGUUCCAACAGUAAAAAAUAACAAUAUCCACCUUUAACUGAGCCCUUAGUUUGUGCCAGACAUGAGGCAUACUUUAAUAUAAUCCUCUCCAAAUGAUAGUUGUU
rnacentral:lncRNA from 1 species